rnacentral:rRNA from 1 species
ACUUAAUUAAAAUUUAAAGUUAAAGUAGUAAUUGUUAUGUUCAUGAAAUUUAAAGAUUUUGGCGGUAUUUUAUUCUAUUCAGAGGAAUCUGUCCUAUAAUUGAUAUUCCACGAUUAAAUAAACUUUUAUUAGAAAUUUGUAUAUCAUCGUAAAUUGAAUAUUUUAAGAGAAAUUAAUAUUCAAAAUAUAAUAUUAUAUAAAAAAUCAGAUCAUGGUGCAAUUUAUAUAAAAGUAGAGAUGGAUUACAUUAAAUUUAUUUUUAGAUUUAAAAUUUUAAAUUUUAAUGAAAUUGGAUUUGAAAGUAAUUAUUUAUAUAUUUAAAUAAUGAUUUAGUUCUAAAAUAUGU